CCGUCCCUUAAAGUCUGUCGCGCUUGGGAAGCAGCGCUUUUUAUGCACAGUAAAAUCCACUUGUUUUUAAACCCAUGGGUUCCAAAUUUGCCCUUCACAUUCACGAUAGACUCAAGAAAUAAAUGGGUCAAAGAGGGACCCAUCAAAGGCAUUCCAUUGUUUCGGCUACCAAAAACAAAAGCUCAUUUCCUUAUCAAAAUCUUCUUCAUCCAAAGCAAAUGGGUCAAAAUGGGACCCACCAAAAACCAAUCUUUUGUUUCAGCCACAAAAACCGUUUCCUUAUCAAUUGCUGCCACAGAAACUGUUUCCUUCUUCUAGCAGACAUUCAUCACCGCCUACUACUAAAAUCUUCUCUGAUUCUCCGUCGUUAGCCAUUCUUCAAUUGCUGCAAAUUUAAGCUACGAUAAUUUCUCUGGAAUAACUACAAAUUCCCUCUUUUCAUACUCCAUAUUCACUUGAAAGUUUUCACCUUUGAUUACAAUAUUGGAGCUCCAAUUCAAGAGAGAAGCAUUGGAAGGAUAUGAAGUUGAUUGCUAAUCCAUCGUUGAUAACAAAUGAGAUUAAAAGCUUUAUUACAGGAAAGUAAUGGUGGUAAAUUGAAAAGGGGAACCAUCAGGAACAUUGCAAGCCUAUUUAAAACAAGUGUUAGGACAGUUCAGAGAAUUUGGAAGCUAGCAGCAAUUACUUCUACAGAUGGAAGAGUUGAUGUAUCACGCAGAUUUUCUAAAAGAUGCGGAAGAAAACGAGUGGAUAUUGAUUUUACUUUGAUCAUGGCAAUUCCUCUCCGGCGUCGGACAAACAUCAGGUCACUUUCCAGUGAAAUGAAAGUGUCCAAAUCAACCCUUCACCGACGAAUUAAAGAAGGUGCUAUAAGGCCACACUCAAAUGCACUCAAACCACAAUUGACAGAUCAGAAUAAGCAAGUAAGGCUUAACUUUUGCUUGUCAAUGCUUGAACCAGAAAGUCUCAACAGCAAUCCAACAUUUAUGAGUAUGUUCAAUGUUGUGCAUAUUGAUGAAAAGUGGUUUUACAUGACUAAAGAAUGUGAAAAAUAUUAUCUUCAUCCUCAAGAAGAAGAACCUCUUAGGACAUGUAAGAGCAAAAAGUUCAUUGUGAAAGUUAUGUUCCUAGCUGCUGUUGCUCGACCACGUUUUGACUGCUCUGGUAACCCAACAUUUGAUGGGAAAAUUGGGAUUUUUCCUUUUGUAUUCAAAGAACCAGCAAAGAGGAGUAGUAAAAAUCGUAUGGCAGGUACAUUAGAAACUAAGCCAAUAUUGUCAGUGACCAAGGAAGUAUAUAGGAGAUGUUUAAUUGAACAGGUUUUGCCUGCAAUACAUGCUAAAUGGCCACGGGAUGGUGGUAGUGUUACUGAAAUUUUGAUCCAACAGGAUAAUGCAAAACCACAUAUUAAUCCCACUGAUCCGGUAUUUAUUGAAGCUGCUUCUAGAGAUGGAUUUGAUAUUCACUUGUCGUUUCAGCCUCCUAAUAGUCCGGACAUGAAUGUUCUUGACUUGGGAUAUUUUAGAGCUAUACAAUCCUUGCAACAUCAAGAAGCACCCUUGUCAAUUGAUGAGCUAAUUCUUGCUGUGGAAAAGUCAUUUGAUGAAUUAUCAAGUGAAAGUCUAAACAAUGUUUUCUUAACAUUGCAAUCAUGUAUGGUAGAGGUGAUGAAAAAUCUUGGGGGAAAUAACUAUAAAGUGCCACACAUUGGGAAGCACUAUUUAAUGAAAGAAAGUUGUCUUCCACUGCAAAUAGAAUGUGAAAAAGAACUUGUGAAUCAAGCUCUAAGUCAUAUGCAAGCAUGAUUAUCUUCAUUGGACAGGUAAGAUUUUAUAAAGCUUUUUUUUUUUAAAGAUUUUUUUAUCUCUAAUUUCUUGUGUGUAUGGUUGUUUAAACUAACUAGUGUUCCUUAUUUUCAUAUUUGUAGGUACUUAAACUUUACUAAUCAUGUGUUUUGAACAAAAUGAUGGUUGAAGUCAAGCAAUCCAACCCUUUUGAUUUUGUGAUGCAAGCUUUUGAUUGGGCAAAGAAUAUAGAAGCACUUUUAUGUACUAGUGGUUUUUCAUUGACUGCUUUUAUUUCACUUUACAAGAUUUUAGAAUAGCUCAGUCAAGUUAGCUUGACGUUAGUAGUAGUAGUGCUGAUUUUUGUACAAAAGGGAAAAUGUGCAAUGCUGAGUGAAGCUAUGUACAUGUAUAAACAUUGAAACACUACUUUUGUUGGAGUUUUUGAAACUGUCAAUAGCAUUAUUCUAUAAAGGGGAAAUAGUGCAUAUUGGUUUGCAUUCUUUUGC